UAUGGCCAUAUCACAGUGAAACCCCAGUUCUUAUCUGAUCACUGAAGUUAAGCAACAUUGAGCUCAGUAAGCAUCUAGACGGGUGACUGUUCAGGAAUAUCAAGUGCUGUAAG